rnacentral:rRNA from 1 species
UACGGGGGGAGCAAGCGUUGUUCGGAUUUACUGGGCGUAAAGGGCGCGUAGGCGGCCACCGCAAGUCGACUGUGAAAUCUCCGGGCUUAACCCGGAAAGGUCAGCCGAUACUGCGGGGCUAGAGUGCAGAAGGGGCAACUGGAAUUCUCGGUGUAGCGGUGAAAUGCGUAGAUAUCGGAAGGAACACCAGUGGCGAAAGCGGCUUCCUGGUCCAGAACCGACGUUCAGGCACGAAAGCGUGGGGAGCAAACAGG